CCAAAAAUGGAUCACCUUUAAAGACACUCUAUUGGGGUUAUUUCUUUGCGCGUUGUACUUUAUCAUGGAACUUCGUGGACUUACAGAUAAAAAUCUUUGUUCGUCAAGAAAUUGAGCACAUGACACCAUAACGUGUGUGACUAACAUAGUGCCAGCAGUCGCGGUCAUACUAGGGCAACUGUAAAGAUAUUUAGGCAGGUUAAACACACUUUUUUAAUUUCAUAGUGAAAUAUAAAUUCUCUCCGUUGUAAUUGUUUCUUUAAACUACUGAAAACAAACAGGGAUUAGAUACCCCUUUAUGCAGUAUAAACUACAAUGCCUGAGGAUUAAGAUACUUAUCCAAACUCAACCAACAUGGCGGUAAUAUAUAAUUUUAGGGGAACUUACUAUAUAAAUGAUAACCACCAAGGUAAUAUCCAUUAAGUUAAAUUUUGUAUACCGUCGUCGCAGGUAUAUUAUAAUAAUAUGCCAUACUAUCUUCCAUACCAAGACAGAUCAAGGUGCAGACAAUCUUGAUGUUUAAGCGAGUUACUAUAAAAAAUAUUUUCUCAAACCAUUUUUAAUUAUACUACGUGUAGGACUUAAAAGUAAUAACUAUCACUAAUAAAUUAUGAAUAUAAUAUAUAUUGCGC
rnacentral:rRNA from 1 species